rnacentral:misc_RNA from 1 species
AGAGCUUCCAUCAUGCUUAGAAGAGUUAGAAGUAUCAGAUUGUACCUCUCUGGUAUCUGCAUCAAUUUCAUCCCUUUUACGACAACCUAAUAAAAAUUGCUGAAUUGAGUUUGCUAAUUGCAUCAAUCUGGGUAAGAAAGUAUGCGUGAAAGUUAUGGAGGAUGGAUUGGAAGCGCAUCUGUAUAUUCAGGAAGUCUUGGAAGCACAUUCUAGAAUAAAAGAGAAUAUCAAGCUAUGGAUCCCUGGAGGUGACAUGGCGGAAUCUAUGAGAUAUAAGAAUAAGAGUGGAUCUACGCUUUCAUUCAGACUUGACCUCCAUAACUUAAUUGGUUUCUUUUUUUUCUGUUAUCUGUAAUUUGGAGGCGUGUUUUAAUGAACUAACCGUUUACUGUGAAGUAGAUUUGAAUGGAUGUGAGGAAACUUAUGAGCUUGAUCUUAUGGGCGGGCCGUUUACUUCACACGUGUUUCUUUGCUUCUGUUCUGAAACUUUCUAUGUUGAUAAAGAAUGGUUCGUUGACGCUUCAUUUAUCUUCUACUUGGUAGCGGCAAGGAAGGAUGAUGUGCGGGCAUUCGUUUUUGACAAGGAGGCCCUUAAGUGUGGGGUACAUCCUAUAUAUAAACAUGAUAUGGAUGACAAGAAAGGCAAACCUCUUCUUGAAAGACUGGAACAAAAUGAGGACGAAAAUGACUUUGUGAAUGAUGAGGAGGAAAAGGAAAAGGAAAAGGAAGAGGAGCCUUCCCUCGAUGAAAUUCUAAAUCUCUGUCUGCCUCUUCCUACUUGCCUGACCGAACCAAACUCAAAAUGACAACAGAACAACAGAGGAAAAGGGAGAAGGAGAAGAAGGAAAGAAAGAGAGAAUUUGAAGCAAACCAUGCGGCAGAUUCCUUGGCAAAGCAAGGCCUUGCGUGAUGAUGAUUUUGUGGCAUUCUUUGAUUUUGAAAGAGUAGCAAGGCUUAACAAGAAUCAGUUGGUAUUUGAUCGAUCAUCCAGGUCUAUUCCAGAGAUAUGUCAAGCUGCCCAAUGUGGUUGAUGAAUUUCAAAAUUCUGAUUACUGGAGCUCUGGUUCUUUGCCUCUAGUGUCACGUUGGGAAGCACCAGCUGUUGGCUUUGUGAAGAUCAAUUCCGAUGCUUCUGUUUCUGCCUGAUUAGGUUGCACUAACUUGGCUGUCGUUUAUGGAGAUAGCAUAGGCGACGUCUUAUGGUUUGCGGGGCGCCGGUACAGUGCCCUACAUGAUGUUUGUUAGCAUGAUUAUAGGAUAAAUUGUCUUUGCAUGAAGAUUUGUUUAGCAUAAUUACAGCAAUUAACAUGAUUAUAGGAGAUUUGUGUAAAAUAACUACAGCAAUUAUUAUUCUUGUCU